UACGUAGGGUGCAAGCGUUAAUCGGAAUUACUGGGCGUAAAGCGUGCGCAGGCGGUUUUGUAAGUUUGUUGUGAAAGCCCCGGGCUCAACCUGGGAAUUGCGAUGAAGACUGCAAGGCUUGAAUCUGGCAGAGGGGGGUAGAAUUCCACGUGUAGCAGUGAAAUGCGUAGAGAUGUGGAGGAACACCGAUGGCGAAGGCAGCCCCCUGGGUCAAGAUUGACGCUCAGGCACGAAAGCGUGGGGAGCAAACAGG
rnacentral:rRNA from 1 species